rnacentral:rRNA from 1 species
AUUAAAAACCAAUGCCCUUCGGGGCUCCUUGGUGAUUCAUGAUAACUUCGCGAAUCGCAUGGCCUUGCGCCGGCGAUGGUUCAUUCAAAUUUCUUCCCUAUCAACUUUCGAUGUUUGGGUAUUGGCCAAACAUGGUCGCAACGGGUAACGGAGGGUUAGGGCUCGACCCCGGAGAAGGAGCCUGAGAAACGGCUACUACAUCCAAGGAAGGCAGCAGGCGCGCAAAUUACCCAAUCCCGACACGGGGAGGUAGUGACAAUAAAUACUGAUGCAGGGCUCUUUAGGGUCUUGUAAUUGGAAUGAGUACAAUUUAAAUCCCUUAACGAGGAACAAUUGGAGGGCAAGUCUGGUGCCAGCAGCCGCGGUAAUUCCAGCUCCAAUAGCGUAUAUUAAAGUUGUUGUGGUUAAAAAGCUCGUAGUUGAACCUUGGGCCUGGCUGGCCGGUCCGCCUCACCGCGUGCACUGGUCCGGCCGGGCCUUUCCCUCUGUGGAACCCCAUGCCCUUCACUGGGCGUGGC